rnacentral:rRNA from 1 species
UACGAAGGGGGCUAGCGUUGUUCGGAAUUACUGGGCGUAAAGCGCACGUAGGCGGAUAUUUAAGUCAGGGGUGAAAUCCCAGAGCUCAACUCUGGAACUGCCUUUGAUACUGGGUAUCUCGAGUAUGGAAGAGGUGAGUGGAAUUCCGAGUGUAGAGGUGAAAUUCGUAGAUAUUCGGAGGAACACCAGUGGCGAAGGCGGCUCACUGGUCCAUUACUGACGCUGAGGGGCGAAAGCGUGGGGAGCAAACAGG